rnacentral:rRNA from 1 species
UGGGGAAUAUUGCACAAUGGGCGCAAGCCUGAUGCAGCAACGCCGCGUGAACGAUGAAGGUCUUCGGAUCGUAAAGUUCUGUUGCAGGGGAAGAUAAUGACGGUAUCAUAGGAGGAAGCCCCGGCUAACUACGUGCCAGCAGCCGCGGUAAUACGUAUGGGGCGAGCGUUGUCCGGAAUUAUUGGGCGUAAAGGGUACGUAGGCGGUCUAUUAAGUCAGGUGUGAAAGCGUGAGGCUUAACCUCAUUAAGCACUUGAAACUGAUAGACUUGAGUGAAGGAGAGGAAAGUGGAAUUCCUAGGGUAGCGGUGAAAUGCGUAGAUAUUAGGAGGAAUACCGGUGGCGAAGGCGACUUUCUGGACUUUUACUGACGCUCAGGUACGAAAGCGUGGGGAGCAAACAGG